GACGAACGCUGGCGGCGUGCUUAACACAUGCAAGUCGAACGGUAAGGCCCUUCGGGGUACACGAGUGGCGAACGGGUGAGUAACACGUGGGUGAUCUGCCCUGCACUUCGGGAUAAGCCUGGGAAACUGGGUCUAAUACCGGAUAGGACCACGGCCUGCAUGGGUGGUGGGGGAAAGCUUCUGCGGUGUGGGAUGGGGCCGCGGCCUAGAAGCUUGUUGGUGGGGUGAUGGCCUACCAAGGCGACGACGGGUAGCCGGCCUGAGAGGGUGACCGGCCACACUGGGACUGAGAUACGGCCCAGACUCCUACGGGAGGCAGCAGUAGGGAAUAUUGCACAAUGGGCGCAAGCCUGAUGCAGCGACGCCGCGUGAGGGAUGACGGCCUUCGGGUUGUAAACCUCUUUCAGCACCGACGAAGCGCAAGUGACGGUAGGUGCAGAAGAAGGACCGGCCAACUACGUGCCAGCCGCCGCCGUAA
rnacentral:rRNA from 1 species